rfam:Ovis aries breed Texel chromosome 4, whole genome shotgun sequence.
UUCCUGUUGGCUCAGAGGAUAAAGCAUUUGCCUGCAAUGCAGGAGACCCGGGUUCUAUCCCUGGGUGGGGAA